rnacentral:rRNA from 1 species
GGUUAAGCGACUAAGCGUACACGGUGGAUGCCCUGGCAGUCAGAGGCGAUGAAGGACGUGCUAAUCUGCGAAAAGCGUCGGUAAGGUGAUAUGAACCGUUAUAACCGGCGAUGUCCGAAUGGGGAAACCCAGUGCAAUUCGUUGCACUAUCGUUAACUGAAUACAUAGGUUAACGAGGCGAACCGGGGGAACUGAAACAUCUAAGUACCCCGAGGAAAAGAAAUCAACCGAGAUUCCCCCAGUAGCGGCGAGCGAACGGGGAGCAGCCCAGAGUCUGAAUCAGCUUGUGUGUUAGUGGAACGGUCUGGAAAGUCCGACGGUACAGGGUGAUAGUCCCGUACACCAAAAUGCACAGGCUGUGAACUCGAAGAGUAGGGCGGGACACGUGGUAUCCUGUCUGAAUAUGGGGGGACCAUCCUCCAAGGCUAAAUACUCCUGACUGACCGAUAGUGAACCAGUACCGUGAGGGAAAGGCGAAAAGAACCCCGGCGAGGGGAGUGAAAAAGAACCUGAAACCGUGUACGUACAAGCAGUGGGAGCACCUUCGGGUGUGACUGCGUACCUUUUGUAUAAUGGGUCAGCGACUUAUAUUCUGUAGCAAGGUUAACCGUAUAGGGGAGCCGCAGGGAAACCGAGUCUUAACUGGGCGUUAAGUUGCAGGGUAUAGACCCGAAACCCGGUGAUCUAGCCAUGGGCAGGUUGAAGGUUGGGUAACACUAACUGGAGGACCGAACCGACUAAUGUUGAAAAAUUAGCGGAUGACUUGUGGCUGGGGGUGAAAGGCCAAUCAAACCGGGAGAUAGCUGGUUCUCCCCGAAAGCUAUUUAGGUAGCGCCUCGUGAACUCAUCUUCGGGGGUAGAGCACUGUUUCGGCUAGGGGGUCAUCCCGACUUACCAACCCGAUGCAAACUACGAAUACCGAAGAAUGUUAUCACGGGAGACACACGGCGGGUGCUAACGUCCGUCGUGAAGAGGGAAACAACCCAGACCGCCAGCUAAGGUCCCAAAGUCAUGGUUAAGUGGGAAACGAUGUGGGAAGGCACAGACAGCCAGGAUGUUGGCUUAGAAGCAGCCAUCAUUUAAAGAAAGCGUAAUAGCUCACUGGUCGAGUCGGCCUGCGCGGAAGAUGUAACGGGGCUAAACCAUGCACCGAAGCUGCGGCAGCGACACUAUGUGUUGUUGGGUAGGGGAGCGUUCUGUAAGCCUGCGAAGGUGUGCUGUGAGGCAUGCUGGAGGUAUCAGAAGUGCGAAUGCUGACAUAAGUAACGAUAAAGCGGGUGAAAAGCCCGCUCGCCGGAAGACCAAGGGUUCCUGUCCAACGUUAAUCGGGGCAGGGUGAGUCGACCCCUAAGGCGAGGCCGAAAGGCGUAGUCGAUGGGAAACAGGUUAAUAUUCCUGUACUUGGUGUUACUGCGAAGGGGGGACGGAGAAGGCUAUGUUAGCCGGGCGACGGUUGUCCCGGUUUAAGCAUGUAGGCUGGUUGUCCAGGCAAAUCCGGAUAAUCAAGGCUGAGGUGUGAUGACGAGGCACUACGGUGCUGAAGUAACAAAUGCCCUGCUUCCAGGAAAAGCCUCUAAGCAUCAGGUAACAUCAAAUCGUACCCCAAACCGACACAGGUGGUCAGGUAGAGAAUACCAAGGCGCUUGAGAGAACUCGGGUGAAGGAACUAGGCAAAAUGGUGCCGUAACUUCGGGAGAAGGCACGCUGGUGUGUAGGUGAAGUCCCUGCGGAUGGAGCUGAGACCAGUCGAAGAUACCAGCUGGCUGCAACUGUUUAUUAAAAACACAGCACUGUGCAAACACGAAAGUGGACGUAUACGGUGUGACGCCUGCCCGGUGCCGGAAGGUUAAUUGAUGGGGUUAUCCGUAAGGAGAAGCUCUUGAUCGAAGCCCCGGUAAACGGCGGCCGUAACUAUAACGGUCCUAAGGUAGCGAAAUUCCUUGUCGGGUAAGUUCCGACCUGCACGAAUGGCGUAAUGAUGGCCAGGCUGUCUCCACCCGAGACUCAGUGAAAUUGAACUCGCUGUGAAGAUGCAGUGUACCCGCGGCAAGACGGAAAGACCCCGUGAACCUUUACUAUAGCUUGACACUGAACAUUGAGCCUUGAUGUGUAGGAUAGGUGGGAGGCUUUGAAGCGUGGACGCCAGUCUGCGUGGAGCCAACCUUGAAAUACCACCCUUUAAUGUUUGAUGUUCUAACGUUGGCCCCUUACCGGGGUUGCGGACAGUGUCUGGUGGGUAGUUUGACUGGGGCGGUCUCCUCCCAAAGCGUAACGGAGGAGCACGAAGGUUAGCUAAUCCUGGUCGGACAUCAGGAGGUUAGUGCAAUGGCAUAAGCUAGCUUGACUGCGAGCGUGACGGCGCGAGCAGGUGCGAAAGCAGGUCAUAGUGAUCCGGUGGUUCUGAAUGGAAGGGCCAUCGCUCAACGGAUAAAAGGUACUCCGGGGAUAACAGGCUGAUACCGCCCAAGAGUUCAUAUCGACGGCGGUGUUUGGCACCUCGAUGUCGGCUCAUCACAUCCUGGGGCUGAAGUAGGUCCCAAGGGUAUGGCUGUUCGCCAUUUAAAGUGGUACGCGAGCUGGGUUUAGAACGUCGUGAGACAGUUCGGUCCCUAUCUGCCGUGGGCGCUGGAGAAUUGAGGGGGGCUGCUCCUAGUACGAGAGGACCGGAGUGGACGCAUCACUGGUGUUCGGGUUGUCAUGCCAAUGGCACUGCCCGGUAGCUAAAUGCGGAAGAGAUAAGUGCUGAAAGCAUCUAAGCACGAAACUUGCCCCGAGAUGAGUUCUCCCUGAGACUUUAAGUCUCCUGAAGGAACGUUGAAGACGACGACGUUGAUAGGCCGGGUGUGUAAGCGCAGCGAUGCGUUGAGCUAACCGGUACUAAUGAACCGUGAGGCUUAACCUU